CCGUGCUGGGGGUCCCCGCUGUCCCCUGUGCGGGGAGGGGGGGACAGGGGACACCCCUGCUCCGCAGUGUGGGGGGCGCGGGGGCAGCAGGACCCUGCAGAUGUGUGAUUGUCCCCUCCCCGUGUCACCUCCGGCCCUUUGUGCGUGACGAGCGGUGACGCGACACGGGGGGGCGGCCCCCCCACGACCACCGCUCCCCUCCCCUUCCGCCACCGCCCCCCCCGCGGGUCCCGCUCGUGUCGCCGUCCCCACGGGUGGCCACACGCGUGUUCCCGUGUGGCUACUGUCCCUGCCGGGGGGGGCCUCCGCUGUCCCCAAGUGUCCCCAAGCGUCCCCCCCAUCCCUCUGAGAGGGGGCACCGGGACAAACCCGCCCUGGGGACACCUCAGGGUCCCUCCGGGGGACACGGGAGCCCCUCGGCAGCCCCGCAGCUGCCGGUGACGGGAGGUGGCGGUGGAGGGGUGUCCCCUGCGGGACCCCCCCGAGGCCCCCCCGGCCCCGCUGGCUCCGUCAAUCAGCGCUGGCCCCGUUCCGGGAACAUGGAGGGCCCCGAGCUGCUCCGGCUCUGGGCGCUGGCAGCCCUGGCCCUGGGGGUGUCCCGGGCCGCUGUCCCCGAGCACCGCGUCCUGCCCGACCUCCGCCUCUCCGCCGAGACCGGAGCCCUCUUCGUGCACGAGCUGGAGCGGGAGCUGUUCCUGGAGGCCUUCUCGGGGAGCGAGGAUGAUGAUGCGCCGGUGACAUUCCGUGACCUCUCCCCGCGUGUCCCCCCAGCCCCGGUGACAUUCCGUGCCCACCUGUGGGACCACCCGGACCUGCCGCGGUGGCUUCGCUUCGUGCAGCGGGACCCGGGCCAGCCCGGCUUCCUGUACGGUUGCCCGCUGGCCCCCGAGCUGGGCACGCACCGCAUCCAGGUGCUGGCCUACAACCGGCGCACCUUCGCCACCGCGUCCCGGCUCCUCCUCAUCAGCGUCACCCCCGCCCCAGGUGGGGACGCGCCGUUCCAGGCCGAGUUCCUGGUGGGGAACAGGAACGUGGAGGAGCUGCUGCCGGAGGCGGCUCGGGAGCUGUUCCUGCAGGCGGCGGUGGGGCUGUGGGAGCGCGGGGACCUGUCCCUCAUCAAUGUCACCUCGGCCCUGGACCGCGGCGGCCGCGUCCCGCUGCCCAUCGAGGGCCGCAGGGAGGGGGUGUUCGUCCAGGUGGGCUCGCACAGCCCCUUCUCGCCGUGCCUGGUGUCCGCCGUGUCCCCGCAGAGCCGCUCCCGCUGUCACCGCGGCCAGCGACCCCUCGCCUCCUGCUACGACACCUUCGCCCCGCACUUCUCCAUCCGCUGGUGCAACCUCACCCUGCUGCAGGUCUGGCCCAGCCCCAGGACGCCGGGGCCGGAGUGGGGGUCGGGGGUGCUGGAGGAGGGGGGCGGUUUCGAGCCCCCCAGCGGGGCUGUCCCCCGGGAGCUGCUCCCCGCUUUCCUGGUGACGCUGCUGGUGCCGCUGGCCGUGGCCGCGCUGCUCUGCCUGCUCCUGGGCCACCUCAUGUGCUGCCGCAGGGAGGGACUGGAAAAACGGGACCUGCAGACGUCUGACCUGCAGCUGCUCCAUCACAGCUCCAUCGCGGGGGACACGCGGGAGCUGCGGCUCAUGGCCCGGAGCCGGGACGUGCCCCGGCCGCUCUCCACGCUGCCCAUGUUCAACAUCCGCACGGGCCCGCGACCCCCGCCCCGCGACGGGGCCCGCGACCCCCUCAUCCCCCACCCGGCAGCUUCUGGGGGGGCCCGGGCCCACUGAGGCGCUUCUGGGGGGGGCCCGGGUCCAUUCAGGAGGUUUUGGGGGGUCCCGGGUCCAUUCAGGAGGUUUUGGGGGUCCCGGGCCCAUUCAGGAGGUUCUGGGGGGUCCCGAGCCCGCUCAGGAGGUUUUGGGGGUCCCCGGGUCCGUUCAGGAGGUUUUGGGACAGCCCCAGGCUGGGAAAGCGGGGUCUGGGUGGGUUUUGGGGGGAUAAAAGCCCGGCAGAGAGAGGAGGAGGAGUUGCCGACCCGGCCGGGCUCUGGCGGGAGGAUUUGGGGUGUCCCCGCUUUAGGGUGAAUUUUGGUGUGGGAAUAAUUAACCCUUUAGUGACGAAAUGAGGCUUUUCUGCUU